rnacentral:rRNA from 1 species
UGCCCUAACAGUUCCCCGCCCGGGAACAAGGAGCUGGUAUCAGGCGCAACCCUAUUGAGCCCACGACACCUUGCUUAGCCACGCCCUCAAGGGAACUCAGCAGUGAUAGACAUUAAGCCAUAAGUGAAAACUUGACUUAGUUAAAGCUAAGAGGGCCGGUAAAACUCGUGCCAGCCACCGCGGUUAUACGAGAGGCCCAAGUUGACAAACACCGGCGUAAAGCGUGGUUAAGUUAAAAAUCGUACUAAAGCCAAACAUCUUCAAGACUGUUAUACGUAACCGAAGACAGGAAGUUCAACCACGAAAGUCGCUUUAUCUGAUCUGAAUCCACGAAAGCUAAGGAACAAACUGGGAUUAGAUACCCCACUAUGCCUAGCCCUAAACAUUGAUAGUACUAUACACCCACUAUCCGCCCGGGCACUACGAGCAACAGCUUAAAACCCAAAGGACUUGGCGGUGCUUUAGAUCCACCUAGAGGAGCCUGUUCUAGAACCGAUAACCCCCGUUCAACCUCACCCUUCCUUGUUUUACCCGCCUAUAUACCGCCGUCGUCAGCUUACCCUGUGAGGGACUAAUAGUAAGCAGAACUGGUACAACCUAAAACGUCAGGUCGAGGUGUAGCGUAUGGAGGGGGAAGAAAUGGGCUACAUUCGCUACCACAGCGAACACGAAUGAUGCACUGAAACACACAUCUGAAGGAGGAUUUAGCAGUAAGCUG